GUGGGGAAUCUUGCGCAAUGGGCGAAAGCCUGACGCAGCCAUGCCGCGUGAAUGAUGAAGGUCUUAGGAUUGUAAAAUUCUUUCACCGGGGACGAUAAUGACGGUACCCGGAGAAGAAGCCCCGGCUAACUUCGUGCCAGCAGCCGCGGUAAUACGAAGGGGGCUAGCGUUGCUCGGAAUUACUGGGCGUAAAGGGUACGUAGGCGGACAGGUUGGUCAGAGGUGAAAGCCCAGGUCUCAACCUUGGAAUUGCCUUUGAUACUGGCUGUCUUGAGUACGGGAGAGGUGAGUGGAACUCCGAGUGUAGAGGUGAAAUUCGUAGAUAUUCGGAAGAACACCAGUGGCGAAGGCGACUCACUGGCCCGUUACUGACGCUGAGGCGCGAAAGCGUGGGGAGCAAACAGGAUUAGAUACCCCAGUAGUCC
rnacentral:rRNA from 1 species